GGGCGUGUGGUCUAGUGGUAUGACGUUUCCUUCGCACACCUGCGACUGGCUGAAUAGUCAGGAAAAGGUCCCGGGUUCGAAUCCCGUCUCGUCCA